CCCUUAGAUGUCCGGGGCCGCACGCGCGCUACACUGAAGGAAUCAGCGUGGCUUUCUCCCUGACCCGAAAGGGUUGGGAAACCCGUUGAAUCUCCUUCGUGAUAGGGAUUGGGGCUUGAAAUUGUUCCCCAUGAACGAGGAAUUCCCAGUAAGCGCGAGUCAUAAGCUCGCGUUGAUUACGUCCCUGCCCUUUGUACACACCGCCCGUCGCUACUACCGAUUGAACGGUUUAGUGAGGGCCUCGGAUUGGUCUCGGCCCGCUCUUUACCGGGCGGCGCCGUUGGUCGAGAAGACGCUCGAACUUGAUCGUUUAGAGGAAGUAAAAGUCGUAACG
rnacentral:rRNA from 1 species